GACGAACGCUGGCGGCGUGCUUAACACAUGCAAGUCGAACGGAAAGGCCCUGCUUUUGUGGGGUGCUCGAGUGGCGAACGGGUGAGUAACACGUGAGUAACCUGCCCUUGACUUUGGGAUAACUUCAGGAAACUGGGGCUAAUACCGGAUAGGAGCUCCUGCUGCAUGGUGGGGGUUGGAAAGUUUCGGCGGUUGGGGAUGGACUCGCGGCUUAUCAGCUUGUUGGUGGGGUAGUGGCUUACCAAGGCUUUGACGGGUAGCCGGCCUGAGAGGGUGACCGGCAACAUUGGGACUGAGAUACGGCCCAGACUCCUACGGGAGGCAGCGGUGGGGAAUAUUGCACAAUGGGCGGAAGCCAGAUGCAGCAACGCCGCGUGCGGGAUGACGGCCUUCGGGUUGUAAACCGCUUUCGCCUGUGACGAAGAGUGAGUGACGGUAAUGGGUAAAGAAGCACCGGCUAACUACGUG
rnacentral:rRNA from 1 species